AACGAACGCUGGCGGCAUGCCUAACACAUGCAAGUCGAACGAAGCCUUCGGGCUUAGUGGCGCACGGGUGCGUAACGCGUGGGAAUCUGCCCUUUGGUUCGGAAUAACAGUUAGAAAUGACUGCUAAUACCGGAUGAUGUCUUCGGACCAAAGAUUUAUCGCCCAAGGAUGAGCCCGCGUAGGAUUAGGUAGUUGGUGGGUUAAUGGCCCACCAAGCCGACGAUCCUUAGCUGGUCCGAGAAGAUGCUCGGCCACACUGGGACUGCGACACGCCCCGGACUCCGACGGGAGGCACCAGUGGGGAAUAUUGGACAAUGGGAGAAAGCCUGAUCCCGAAAUGCCGCGUGAGUGAUGAAGGCCUUAGGGUUGUAAAGCUCUUUUACCAGGGAUGAUAAUGACAGUACCUGGAGAAUAAGCUCCGGCUAACUCCGUGCCAGCCGCCGCGGUAAUAC
rnacentral:rRNA from 1 species